rnacentral:rRNA from 1 species
GAUGAACGCUGGCGGCGUGCUUAACACAUGCAAGUCGAACGAGGGUUAUCGGUUGAAGUUUUCGGAUGGAAACUGAUAAUUCCUAGUGGCGGACGGGUGAGUAACGCGUGGGGAACCUGCCCCAUUCCGGGGGAUACCAGUUGGAAACGACUGUUAAUACCGCAUAAGCGCACGGUACCGCAUGGUAGAGUGUGAAAAACUCCGGUGGAAUGGGAUGGCCCCGCGUCUGAUUAGCCAGUUGGCAGGGUAACGGCCUACCAAAGCGACGAUCAGUAGCCGGCCUGAGAGGGCGACCGGCCACAUUGGGACUGAGACACGGCCCAAACUCC